ACAAUAUUGCAGCCCUGAUACUCAAUUUGCAACACUGUUGCAGAUGCUCAGCUGAUACUUAAGCAAAAUAAUUGCAAUAUUUUGCGCGAAUUGUGACCGAAAAUGAAACUUUAACCAUGAACUUUUUAAUAAAUAUAGCGAUAGAUAAUUUUGAAAGCAGUGAUAAUAACCUGCUGCUUAAGUAUGGAAAAAAUAGAAAACAAAGUUUUUUAAGAAAGAGAAAGUGGUUCCUCGCUGAAAUUUCAAAAAAGAGAACAGUGACGAAGAUGAUAAAGGUUUGGAAAACAAUUCCAUUGUACCAUGAUGAUACAUAUUUCACGCAUUUUCGCAUGACUCGUGAAACAUUUGCAGACUUGAAAAAUGCGUUAGAAUCUUUUUGGUCAACACCACACGGGGAAUAUUCCUUGGAACAUUCCUUGCAUAUGACUCUUUGGAAGCUAAGCAAUAGUAGAGUCACAUAUCGUGAGCUUGCCGAUAGAUUUAAUGUUGGGCAAGGAACUGCCCACAAACUUUUCCUUAAAACAAUCAAGACAAUCUGCAAACUUAAAAACGAGAUAUGUUGGCCGUCAGUUUUACAGCAGAAUAAAAUAAUGGAAAACUUUCAAACAAGCCGGCUAAAUUCAUUUCCUUUUGUUGUCGGAUGCUUAGAUGGAACGCAUUUCAAAAUUAACACUCCUCAAACAGAUGCAAUCAGUUAUUAUGACCGUAAAGGAAAUUUUUUAGUUAUUAUGCAGGCCAUAUGCGACAGUAAGUUCUGUUUUUUAGAUGUGUUCAUCGGCUACCCAGGUAGCUGUCAUGAUGCCAAUGUGUGGGAAAAUAGUCCACUUUACAAAGGGAUCACAUCUGGACAAAUAAAACUUGCGAAAGAUGCAAUUAUUCUAGCCGAUUCAGCAUAUCCCGUUUCAAGAUACUUAAUUGCUCCUUUUAGAGAUAACGGACAUCAUUCCAGAGAGGAAAAACAAUUCAACUAUUAUAUGAGUUCAACCCGAGUAUUUAUCGAACAAAC